rnacentral:lncRNA from 1 species
GCCAAGUUAAAAGCAAACUGUCAGAAAAAUGGGAGGAGAAGAGGGAAGAAAACAAUGAUUAACAACGAUCUUUGUGAGGAAAAACCCAAAAGAUAUGAGGUCUUUAAAUAGUCCUCUAAUAUGGAGAAAUUUGAGUUUAAUUUGAACUUUGAUUCCUAGUAAUUUUAGGCUUUAGGUCGAAGAAGAACUCCUUCAGGAGUUCAACCGUGCAUUUUCCUAUGUGUUGGAAAUUCAUCGUGGAAGGG